rnacentral:lncRNA from 1 species
UUGGAUUCAUAUUGAAAGUACUCAUAUUCGACCCAUAGGCAAGUGUGCCAAACCACUGCCUUGCUUCUCUCUCUGAGUCAUGUGAAACAAAAGGAACUGUAGCUAUUAUGCAUAGACGUGGACUAGCCCAACAUCACCAGCGUCAGCAGUCUUCUCACAUCACAGCGGUCAACUGGUCCAAAGCUGGACCAUAGGUGUCUCUAUUGAGGUUAUCUCCAUUGCAAGCCACACAAUGGCAUGAUGGGUUAACCUAAGGUCCUUCUUCUUCCCCGAAUCCCUUCCGUUAGAAGACACUUGUGGCUCCCUGACAAACUGGUCGCUUGGUGCUGAGCUGCGACAACUUUAGUUGACUUGAAUACUGAUCCACCGUUAGUCAACCUAUUGGUGGAUACAGAUCCCAGGUCGGCAGUAUGGUGCUACAUGUUUCCCGGAGGAAAUGACAUGUUUGUGGUCAUCUCCUACCUGUAGAGAAGGAAUUAAGUGCGUCAGAAGGUUCAGCUGGUAGCAUUGAAUUGGGUAUUCUAGAAAGAGAAAUGAUAUGACCAUAGCAAAACUCGGUGUCUUAUGAAUCAGAUAAAAGAAGAUAU